UCGUUCGUCGCGUUCGUGGAAGCUUUUAAUUCCUUGAACCGAUGCUCUUAGAGCCAGGGCUUGGAACAUGCCCAGUAGGUGUGAUCGUCUCGCGUCAGAUGAACCCGAAGCUGUGCUGACCUCGCCCACCUGAAUCCCCUGGGUUCAGGAACGCGGCAACCAGUGCGCGGCGAACACC
rnacentral:sRNA from 1 species